UAUUCACCUUGCAUCCAUUCUCAUCAAGCUUCCCAAUAGAGAUGAUGUUGUUGCGCAGUCGUGGGAUGUAGUACACUCCGGUGAGUAUGCGAUGUUCGCCUGUGAGACCCUCAAAGAGGACAGAUCCUUGCCCGCAAAUCUUCACAGCUGAACCAUCACCGAACUUGACCGAGCCUUCAACAUCGUAUUCCAGCUCGAG
rnacentral:lncRNA from 1 species